GAAGCCGCGAGGCGACGGCGUUCUCGCCGGAUGUAGGAACCGACCCGGGGGACCCGCCGGGGCAACCCGGCGCCCCCGAGACGGGGCGAACCACGGUGAAAUGACGGAUCGUCGGCCCCGCGCCGGCGACUCGCCGAAUGAGUUCUGACCUAUCAACUCGAGACGGCGGGGUAGAGGCCCGCCGCGGUAACGACGGGUAACGGGGAAUCAGGGUUCGAUUCCGGAGAGGGAGCCCGAGAAACGGCUACCACUUCCAAGGAAGGCAGCAGGCGCGCAACUUACCCUAAUCUCGAUUCGAGGAGGUAGUGACAAGAAAUACCGAUGCGGGACCCUACGGGUGCCGCGUUCGGAAUGAGUACGAUUCGAACCACCUAACGAGGAACGAUCGGAGGGCAAGUCUGGUGCCAGCAGCCGCGGUAAUUCCAGCUCCAAUAGCGU
rnacentral:rRNA from 1 species